rnacentral:rRNA from 1 species
AUGAACGCUGGCGGCGUGCCUAAUACAUGCAAGUCGAGCGAACAGACGAGGAGCUAGCUCCUCUGACGUUAGCGGCGGACGGGUGAGUAACACGUGGAUAACCUACCUAUAAGACUGGGAUAACUUCGGGAAACCGGAGCUAAUACCGGAUAAUAUAUUGAACCGCAUGGUUCAAUAGUGAAAGACGGUUUUGCUGUCACUUAUAGAUGGAUCCGCGCCGCAUUAGCUAGUUGGUAAGGUAACGGCUUACCAAGGCAACGAUGCGUAGCCGACCUGAGAGGGUGAUCGGCCACACUGGAACUGAGACACGGUCCAGACUCCUACGGGAGGCAGCAGUAGGGAAUCUUCCGCAAUGGGCGAAAGCCUGACGGAGCAACGCCGCGUGAGUGAUGAAGGUCUUUGGAUCGUAAAACUCUGUUAUUAGGGAAGAACAAAUGUGUAAGUAACUAUGCACGUCUUGACGGUACCUAAUCAGAAAGCCACGGCUAACUACGUG